GAUGAACGCUAGCGGCAGGCUUAACACAUGCAAGUCGAGGGGCAGCAUAGAGGUUAGAAAUAACUUCUGAUGGCGACCGGCGCAAGGGUGCGUAACGCGUGAGCAACUUGCCCUUAUCAGGGGGAUAACCAAUGGAAACGUUGACUAAUACCCCAUAGUAUAACAUUAAGGCAUCUUUUUGUUAUUAAAGAAUUUCGGAUAAGGAUAGGCUCGCGUGACAUUAGCUAGAUGGCGGGGUAACGGCCCACCAUGGCGACGAUGUCUAGGGGUUCUGAGAGGAAGGUCCCCCACACUGGAACUGAGACACGGUCCAG
rnacentral:rRNA from 1 species